AUACGUAGGUGACAAGCGUUAUCCGGAUUUACUGGGCGUAAAGGGCGUGUAGGCGGUCUUGCAAGUCAGAAGUGAAAUUCCUGAGCUCAACUCGGGCGCUGCUUCUGAAACUGCAGGACUUGAGUGCUGGAGGGGAUAGCGGAAUUCCUGGUGUAGCGGUGAAAUGCGUAGAUAUCAGGAGGAACACCGGUGGCGAAGGCGGCUUGCUGGGCUUUUACUGACGCUGAGGCUCGAAAGCGUGGGUAGCAAACAGGAUUAGAUACCCUGGUAGUCCACGCUGUAAACGAUGAUUACUAGGUGUGGGGGGACUGACCCCUUCCGUGCCGCAGUUAACACAAUAAGUAAUCCACCUGGGGAGUACGGCCGCAAGGUUGAAACUCAAAUGAAUUGACGGGG
rnacentral:rRNA from 1 species